CUUGUACUCCCUCUAUCCGAAAAUACUUGUCAUUGAAAUUGAUGUAUCUAGAUGUAUUUUAGUUCUAGACACAUCCAUUUUGAUGACAAGUAAUUCCGGACGGAGGGAGUACUUG
rnacentral:pre_miRNA from 1 species